AGGACCGGCAUCGUAUUUUCUUAAAGUUGGCUGGUCUGGCUGGGCCUUUGAAAGUGAAGCUGCUGAUUUGAAGCCCAUGUGCGGAUUAAUGAAAUGCAGCGUUUCAUGUUGCUGCAAAGAGGCAAAGCUGAUGGGGUAUUCUUUCUCACGUUCAUUCGCACAGAGUUUUACUCAUUUGGGGAUUUUCUCCCAAUUCUCUCAACCCUCGUUAGGAUUCGCGAGCCAGCAAACAUGACGAAGCAUAGAAGCACUCCAUGGGUCGAGUUGGAAGACGAUCAGAAGCGCUGCGGCCCAAAGAAAAAACCCAAGAUGUUGACCGGUCCGAUGAGCUGUGCUGAGCUGGAUUGACGGUUGAAGAACAAAGCAUAGUUAGUUGAAGGAUACUCCAGAAUAUUCGAAGUUUGUUUUCAGUUCUUUCCCCUUUCCCUCUUUUCUUUUCUGUUAUGGACUUUCUCUAUAAAAGGAAGUCUUGUAAUGAACAAUGUAAGUGCACUGGAUGACAGACUUUGCACUUAGCUUAAGAUUUUUAAUUCUUGCUUUUAGUUUUAGAAUUUAAAGCUUUCGUAGAUACGCUCUUUGCUACACUGGGGUUCUUGGAGCUUUCCAUUGGGUGACAGUGGGAUUGAGAAACUGGAUAGCCCAGGUCAAAGGGUCAAAAAAUCUGGUCAAAAUAAGAUUGGGCUGAAGUGGGUAAAGCUGUCAAUGGCUGAUGAUACCUGGGCUGAAUUGAGAAUGGUCCAUUAUGAAGCUGGAAGUGCAACGUUUUGGGCUGAAGCUUAAUGACGCUACGCGUUUUAAGUGGAGAAAAAGGGCGUUGAAGCCUGCACCUCCCCUCCUUGGACCUCCACCUCCCCAUCCCAUUUUUAUCCUUUCUUUUUUUAUUUAUAAUUUUAAUAAUUAUUUAUAUUCCUAUUA